UACGGAGGGUGCAAGCGUUGCUCGGAAUUAUUGGGCGUAAAGGGUAGGUAGGUGGUCUCAUUUGUCUGGGGUGAAAGCCUUGGGCUUAACUCAAGAAGUGCCCCAGAAACGGUGAGACUAGAGUCCUGGAGAGGGUCGUGGAAUUCCCGGUGUAGCGGUGAAAUGCGUAGAGAUCGGGAGGAACACCAGAGGCGAAGGCGGCGACCUGGACAGGUACUGACACUCAACUACGAAAGCGUGGGGAGCAAACAGG
rnacentral:rRNA from 1 species